rnacentral:misc_RNA from 1 species
GAACUCCACUCCAUCUGAUUUUCCAACCAAUGAUCCAUCUUCAAGUUGAGCUUCAUACUUGACUAGAACUUCGUCAAGAUCCUUGGGAUUUUCCCAUUUCUCUCCCUUGGUGAGGAUCUUCUUGAAAAUACCACCAUCCUUGCAGAUGUCCUUUACACUCACCCAUGAUAGCAAUUCAACAUCAAACUGGAGAGUGGAAUUUGGAGGGAUAGUUGGAGGAGA